AAAACAUAAAAUAAAAAAAAAAGGUAGAAAUGGGAGAGGUGGGAGUGGAUUCCCACUCCCACCUCCCCCAAUGGGAGUCCCACUCCCACUCCCCACUCCAAAAAUGGGUGAGGCCCACGGAGUGGGACUCCCAAUCCCUCUCCAUUUUAAGUAAGUAAACGCUGGAAUGGGAGGAAUCCACACUCCUCACUCCCACUCCAGCAAGUAAACACAACAUUAAAUGAGUGGGAUUCACUGAUAUCCAACGGCUAAAUACAAUUGUGACAUGGUACCACAAUUGCACCACAGAUUUUCCCCAUAUAAUAUGUUUAUUUAGCACUUUUUUUUUUUAGCUAUGCUUUGAUCUUACUUAUUUUCGUCUUGGCCCAAAUAAAACAUAAUUAUUAUUUUAAAUUUUUAGAAAAUUUCUUAUAAAACCCCACGAACAAGAGAGAUAAACGACGUUUGUUUCGGAAUUUUCUCUCUCUUGAGACUGUUACCAUUUUUAUGUCUUGUCUUGUCUUAUCUUGGACCCCUACUUAUCUCCUAACUCAAAAUCUUUGGAGCCCACAUUUAUUACAAUUGCAGUGAAUUGCAUUUACAGAGUCAUUGUCAACGGAUCACAUCACCUUUAACUUGGUCGCACUUCAACUCAUCACAUAUGCCCGCUUUUUUAGGUGGUGCUUGAAGGGAAGAAACAAGAGAAUACGAGAGGAAGGAGGAAGAAAGAAAUAAAAAAAAUAAAAGUAGAAUCCAAUUCUAUUGCAUGACUAGAUAUAAAGUUCUAAGGGAGAAAGAUUUUAUUUAUUUAGAUAAUUUUACUCUUUAAUUAGUGUUGAAUUUUGAAAAUUUUCCGUGAAUUAUAAUUAAAAA
rnacentral:lncRNA from 1 species